rnacentral:misc_RNA from 1 species
GAUGAAGAACGCAGCGAAAUGCGAUACGUAAUGUGAAUUGCAGAAUUCAGUGAAUCAUCGAAUCUUUGAACGCAUAUUGCGCUCUCUGGUAUUCCGGAGAGCAUGCUUGUUUGAGUAUCAGUAAACACCUCAACUUCCAUAUCUUUUUUGAAAUGGGAGUUGGACUUGAGUGAUCCCAACGCUUUUCCUCACCGAAAAGUGGCGGGUUACUUGAAAUGCAGGUGCAGCUGGACUUUUCUCUGAGCUAAAAGCAUAUCUAUUUAGUCUGCCUAAAAAACAGGUUAUUACCUUUGCUGCAGCUAACAUAAAGGAGAUUAGUUCUUGUGCUGACUGAUGCAGGAUUCACAAAGACAGGCUUCGGCCGACUUUGUAAACUCGAUCUCAGAUCAAGUAAGACUACCCGCUGAACUUAAGCAUAUCAAUAAGCGGAGGA